AAAUAGCCCCGAUUAAAGUGGAAAUCCUUUUUCUUUUUUCUUUAAAAAAGAAAAAGAUUGCAACGGAAAGCGGGAGGACUA
rnacentral:sRNA from 1 species